rnacentral:rRNA from 1 species
AACUGGGUGUAGUUUAUACUCAGCUUUUUCUGCUCAAUGAGCAUUUAAAUAGCCGCAGUACCCUGACUGUGCAAAGGUAGCAUAAUCAGUUGGCUCAUAAUUGGAGUCUUGUAUGAACGAUGGCAUGGGUAGAGCCUGUCUCUAAACGAUAGCCAUAACUUUUUGAGUAAGUGAAAAGACUUACUGGUACCAUAAAAGACGAGAAGACCCUAGAAAUUUUUCAUCAAAGGUGUAUAGUGACAUUUUAAUGUUUUGCUGGGGCGGCAGAGUAACACAGUAACUUGCUUUAUGUAUUAGACUUUUAUUUACAGGUAAACCAUAAUUACUCUAGGGAUAACAGCGUAAUUCUUUGAGAGUUUGCGACCUCGAUGUUGGACUAGGGAAGAGAGCGUGCAGAAGGUGCUCUUUCAUGUUCUGUUCGAACAACUUUCCCCUACAUG